UCGGGUAUGGUGUAGCGGUAACAUCUGCGACUCUCAUUUGCUCGCAAGCCCGGGGUUCGACUCCCCGUAUCCGAG